rnacentral:rRNA from 1 species
UUUUAAAAGGCGGCGUAAAGCUGUCGCUAUGGGGAUGGCCCCCGCGGUGCAUUAGCUAGUUGGUAAGGUAAAGGCUUACCAAGGCGAUGAUGCAUAGCCGAGUUGAGAGACUGAUCGGCCACAUUGGGGACUGAGACACGGCCCAAAACUCCUACGGGAGGCAGCAGUAGGGAAUCUUCCACAAUGGACGCAAGUCUGAUGGAGCAAACGCCGCGUGAGUGAAGAAGGUUUUCGGAUCGUAAAGCUCUGUUGUUGGUGAAGAAGGAUAGAGGUAGUAACUGGCCUUUAUUUGACGGUAAUCAACCAGAAAGUCACGGCUAACUACGUGCCCAGCAGCCGCGGGUAAU